rnacentral:rRNA from 1 species
UACAGAGGCCUCAAGCGUUGUUCGGAUUCAUUGGGCGUAAAGGGUGCGUAGGUGGCGAGGCAAGUCAGGUGUGAAAUCCCAGGGCUCAACCCUGGAACUGCACUUGAUACUACUUUGCUUGAGUACUGGAGAGGAGAUUGGAAUUUACGGUGUAGCAGUGAAAUGCGUAGGUAUCGUAAGGAAGACCAGUGUCGAAGGCGAAUCUCUGGACAGUUACUGACACUGAGGCACGAAGGCCAGGGGAGCAAACGGG